AGGGGCGACUAUACCAGCACUAAUGCACCGGAUCCCAUCAGAACUCCGUAGUUAAGCGUGCUUGGGCGAGAGUAGUACUAGGAUGGGUGACCUCCUAGGAAGUCCUCGUGUUGCAUCGU
rnacentral:rRNA from 2 species